UACAGAGGUCCCAAGCGUUGUUCGGAUUCAUUGGGCGUAAAGGGUGCGUAGGCGGCGCGGUAAGUCGGGUGUGAAAUCUCGGGGCUUAACUCCGAAACUGCAUUCGAUACUGCCGUGCUUGAGGACUGGAGAGGAGACUGGAAUUUACGGUGUAGCGGUGAAAUGCGUAGAGAUCCGGAGGAACACCGAAGGCGAAGGCAGUGUCCUGGCUGGUGACUGACGCUGAGGUGCGAAAGCUAGGGGAGCGAACGGG
rnacentral:rRNA from 1 species